UCCCUACUCCGCUACAAAAUGUAGGACAAACUGAUUUACCCAUGUUCGUCCGCCCGUCUGUCCAACGUGGUUUGUCUAGCUAACUCAUCCUUCAGUUUAACGCUAUAACUGUUAUAUCAUACACAAAUUACAACAGGCACGGACCCAGCUAUUUUAAAAAGGGGGUUCCAACCACUGUAAUACCAUGAAACGUUCACAGUUAUCGAAAAAAGGGUGGGGUACAACCCCCGGAACAUCUCCUGGAUCCGUC
rnacentral:lncRNA from 1 species